AUGUCCAAGGCUUGCCCAUGCCUUGGCCAAGCCUUUGGCCCUUCUCAUGCCAUGAAGACCCCUAUGCCUUGGCCACUCUUGGGCCACUUGGGGAGCACUAUAAAUAAGAGGGAAUGAGGCUCUUUUGACCAUCUUACAUCUUUUAUCUUGCAUCUUAGCACUUGUUGUAUUUCGGCCUUAGUGGCUUGGGAGGGACCUUGUCUCUUUGUAUUCGGUCUUGGGGUUUGUCCAAGACUUGGGCUAGGGGAAACCCAUCAUAGUUUCCCUUAGAUAUUUUGCUUGUAAGCUUCAUUUUGGGAAAUAGAAUCAAUCAAGCGUUCCUCUAACUUUCUCCACAAAUACUCUUAAGUUUGAUUGUUUUCUUCUCAAGCCAAGGGUCGGGUCAAGCUGCAACCAGUAGACCCUCCCCUUGCCUUGAUUCCCUCGGCUACUUAAGAGCUUGGCACACCGCGGCACAAGCUCAACUACCUUGGCGUUACCCGAUCGGCCCUUUUCCAACAACUUUAAGGCAUCCGCAAGGUGCGCACGAGCAAGACUUGGUGUGGUGGCUUGGGGGCCGAAAGCCACCCUCCAACAUUGGUGCUUUCAUUGAG
rnacentral:lncRNA from 1 species